ensembl:lncRNA
GUGUCUGCCUGCGUCCUGCCAGGAGGCAGGGCCUUAGCCUCAAUGCCGGCUGCGUCUCUUUGGUCUGGCUGUCUUCUUAGUAACUUGAAGUUAUCCCUCUUGUUAUAAAGCAUAAGCACGUCUUUUAGGAUAUCAGGUUCCUCCGCACCACCUCGGCCUGCAGCUCCCCCCCAACCCCCGCCACCAUGUCCGGUGAGGCCUUGCUGUUGGAGGAGGAAGCCGAAAGCGAAAAGCCGACCUUGCUGCUUGGAACAGUGACCCUUCGGGGUGGCCCCAGCAGUUAGACCGCAUGCCUCAAGUUCCCUCACCAUCUGAAGGACUGGCCUCUGCAGUGUAGUGUCCCAGCUGGACGUGGC